rnacentral:rRNA from 1 species
CACGUAGGGACCGAGCGUUGUCCGGAUUUAUUGGGCGUAAAGAGCUCGUAGGCGGUUCAGCAAGUCGGGUGUGAAAACUCUGGGCUCAACCCAGAGACGCCACCCGAUACUGCUGUGACUAGAGUCCGGUAGGGGAGUGGGGAAUUCCUGGUGUAGCGGUGAAAUGCGCAGAUAUCAGGAGGAACACCGGUGGCGAAGGCGGCGUUCUGGACUGCAACUGACACUGAGGAACGAAAGCCAGGGGAGCAAACGGG